rnacentral:rRNA from 1 species
UACAGAGGGUGCGAGCGUUGUCCGGAAUCACUGGGCGUAAAGGGCGCGUAGGUGGCGGCCCAAGUCCGUGGUGAAAGCUCGCCGCUUAACGGCGAGUCGGCCACGGAGACUGGGUGGCUCGAGCACUGUAGGGGCAGAUGGAAUUCCGGGUGUAGCGGUGGAAUGCGUAGAGAUCCGGAAGAACACCAGUGGCGAAGGCGGUCUGCUGGGCCGAUACUGACGCUGAGGAGCGAAAGCAUGGGUAGCGAACAGG